GCCGGGCAUGUUGGCGCAUGCCUGUAGUCCCAGCUACUAGGGAGGCUGAGGCAGGAGGAUCACUUGAACUCUGGAGGUAGAGGUUGCAGUGAGCCGAGAUUGCACCACUGCACUCCAGCCUGAGCAACAGAGUGAGAUCCUGUCUCAA
rnacentral:SRP_RNA from 1 species